rnacentral:rRNA from 1 species
UACAGAGGGGGCUAGCGUUAUUCGGAAUUAUUGGGCGUAAAGGGCGCGUAGGCGGCCACGCGUGUCUUUUGUGAAAUCCCUCGGCUUAACUGAGGACGUGCGGAAGAAACUGCGAGGCUUGAGUCCGGGAGAGGGGGGUGGAAUUCCCAGUGUAGCGGUGAAAUGCGUAGAUAUCGGGAGGAACACCAGUGGCGAAGGCGGUUGCCUGGAGCUUUGCUGACACUGAGGCGCGAAAGCGUGGGGAGCGAUCGGG